ensembl:lncRNA
UUUUUUUUUUUUUUUGUGAGCAUUUCAACUUCCUAUGGGUUCAGUAAAGGACUGUUAACUUGCAAUAAACAUGCGCCAUUUUUUAGGUUAAUGUAACUUCAUUUUAUGCUAUUGUUUCUCCUCUGUUACAUUCAUAUGGUACAGCUGACAUCUGAUAGGAAAAAGAGACUUAGACACUCUACUACAGUUAGAAGCGAUAUGGUUAAUAGCUGCAGCUGAAGCCUUUCCCAUGGUAUUCUAGAUUAUCCAGCAAGGUUAGCCAGUGCAGAUUUCACCAGGCACCAUCACAUCCCAAGAGUGAAUCUGCCCUCCACCCUGCUGAGGGCCUCUGUGGGAAGCCAUUAUCCAUCCAAUGACAUUGGUGCACACAGCAUGGAGAAGAGAGGCAGAUGGAAAGAACUACAGCUUCUGUUAAAAACUGAGCCAGUUUUUAACAGAAGCUCUUUACCAUUUUAAAUCACAAUACAAAUGGUGAUCAAAAUUUUAGUCUGCUGGCUUGGUGACCUCCACUGGACAAUUUUGAAUAAAGAAGUGCACUAAAAGCCAAUCCAACAAUUGUAAAUCAACCCAAAGCCAGCCCUCCUGAUUGCAAGGUAGUAUGUGAAAAAGAACCCCUUAUAGUCAUGUGCCACUUUAGCUGCCUGGGGAAAAAAAUCCUUCCACAUAUGAAAAUGGCAAUCAACCUCCUGCAUGGUGCUUAAUGGGAGGUAAAACACAAGACAACUCCCUGGCUGGGAGUUAUGAGGCCACAUGCAGAUGUCUCCAUCUGAGCUAAUCACUGAAACUCCUGUCUUGGAAAUGGAGAGAAACAAGUACCACUAGGGCACAAGUCAUGUCAUUCUAAAGCAGGUCUCUCAAAUAAGUGAGAAGAAUCAUAUAUUCUUUCCACUGUCUGUAAAGGGAGUUUUGUAUAAACUGCUUGGAUGGGAGACAUCGCAUUGGCUGGUGUUUGAAGUCAGGUGGGAUAAAUUCUGCACCAUCUUUCUCUAAUUUAUGUCUUUAGUUGAAGAAUCUAUUCAGAGAAUUCUUUCUUAAUGCCAGAUAUUUUUUCUGUGUUUUUACAGGCUGUCUUCCUCUACUAAACUCUUGUAAUUUGUGAUAUCCAUCUAGUUUCAAAGUCUCUGUUGUUUUCUAUCAGUCACUUGGUCCCAACUCAGCUGAUUCUCAUCACUUGGCCUUUAUGAAGACAUUGCAUUAUGUCUUCAAGUCUUUUAAAUAUAUAAGUCUUCAUCCCACUUUUUGAUUGUCUGUGAUGCUGCUGUUAGUGUAGGAAUUGUUUCUGUCUUUGCUCCUCUCAGUGCCAUCUAUCUGUGGCAACUUCUCUACCAAUGGAUGCCAUAAGCCUUUCAUGGUCUGUUUGUGUCCAUUAGCUAAGCCCAUAAGAUGUGCCUUGUGCAGUUUCUCUGUUGUGCUGGCAAAGCACACCCUCUGGCUGGAGAAGCACCAUUCUGUGGUUCUGAUAAGUCCAAGAUCUUCUGCCCAAGGCAGCUCAGUAACUGGCAAAAGCUCUGAAUACUCCUGCUUCUGGGCUAGAAUCUGUCUGCUUUAGCCUUCUGUUUGCUGAGUUCCGGUUGUCUUUCUGUUCAGCUCUGUUACUCUCUAGGUUUUGUAAUUUAUUGGUAUGAUUUGUUGUCCUCUGUCAUUUGAUCCUGCUUUAAUGGCAGAAUAUGUCCCAAGAAAUAAAAGAGCACAAGGCUUACUUUUCUAUUCCCUACACCAACACCCUGUACAUACCACAUUUACCUCUUCUAGUGCCCACCACAAACUUCAAUGUCAUCUGGAGACAGUGCUUACCCACCCUAACUUCAGAUCAAGAGCUGUUUAGGAGUGUGGGAGCUGACCUGCACCAAAACUUUGCUAAGGUCAGUCCAAACAAAUAAAAGUGCUAGCUAAUUAAGUUCAGUGCUGAUGCCUUAGCACUGGUUAAUUUUCUCAGAAGUUGUUGCUGAGGUGUCCAAGCACCAGUAGCCACAUGAAAUGUGUAUGUGAUAGCAUCAAGACUUAGUGACUUAUUAGUAAGUAAAUAACUGGGGCUACAUGGCCUACUGCUCUAAUAACCACUUUUCAGUGAGCAAGCCUGUCCUAAUGAAAGUGGAAUGUUUGAUUCAGCAGCUCGUGAAUCUUGUACUGUUGGUAGGUGAACCCAGCAUUUCUAGAUGUUGACCCUUUCCUGUCGGUGAUACCUUAUUAUCAUUCACCUAAUGACAAUCAUUCACCUUUCAACUAAUUUUUGGGUAGUUUAAGGGAUAAUGUGUUAUGAUUAAUUGGCACAUUUAUACUUGAACUCAUCUGUAAGAUAACAGAACUUAGCAGGCUUAAACCUUAAACUUCCUAAUUUUCUUGGCUUUUGGAUAGACCUCCAGGUCACGUACAGUAAAUACCUGUGGCAGCUUUGGCUGUUAAAGGUUAUGUUCUGACCUUUCAGGAACAGGUUGGGCUCUUGUAUGAUCUUUUUGCUUAUCUUGGUGCAUAUCCCCUGCUGCUGCAGCCUGGCAUUUAUGACUCGUCAAUGGGAUUCCAAUUUUUCUCUUUUCCUCUAAGCAUGACAUGCAAACCUGUUUCACUUUGUCAUGAGGUUUUAAAUCUACUUUUGUGUUCUCUUUAAACACAAUAAUGUUUUACAUGCAUAGCUCUCCUAUUAGAAAGGCAGUUAAAUUCCUAUGAAUAUUAUUUUUUCAGGCUUACUCUUAUGAAGUAAGUCUGCGUCCCGUCCUUUUGUGACUGCCUGAAGUGUCCUGCCACAAAUCAGAGAAUAUCUCUUGCAGACCUCUCCGUCUUCUACAUCAUUACGUGUCAUGGUUUAGCACCAACAGGCAGCUGAGCACCAUGGAGCUGUUUGCUCACUUCCCCCAGCUCUUCACCCUGGUGGGGAGAAUGGGAAAGAAAAUGCAAACUUUGGGGGUUGAGAGCAUUACAAUUUAAUAAUUAAAAAUAACAAAUACCACUACUACUAAUAAUAAUUGUAGUGGAAAAGGGUGAGAGAGAGGGGAAUAAAAUCCAAGAGACACAAGUGGUGCCCAGUACAAUUACUCACCACAUGCUGACCAAUGUCCAGACUAUUACUGGGCAACAAUCAGCAACCCCCAACCAACUGCCUCCAGUUUAUUGCCUGAGCAUGACAUUCUCUGGUGUGGAAUAUCCCUUUGUCCAGUUCAGGUUAGCUUUCCUAGCUACACUCCCUCCCAGCUUCUUGCACACCUGCUUGCUGGCAGAGCAUGAGACACUGAAAAGUCCUUUAUUUAGAGUAAGUACUAUGAACAACUAAAACAUCAGUGGGUUACCAAGAUCAUUCUCACACUAAACCCAAAACACAGAACUUUACAAGCUAUUAAGAAGAAAAUUAACUUUAUCCCAGCUGUAAUCAGGACAUCAAAUCACCUGUAUUGUAACCCAUUUAAUUAGCUAUGAUUUCCCUUUUCAGAAACUUAUCCUUACCUCAGAGUAAUGAAGAUUCAGGAACAUCACUUUCCAAGCUCUGCACAAUACAUUCUGAUGGGGUCUGAACAGGCCUCAUGUCCAUUUGAUAACAAAAUGUAUGACUAUUUAAUUCCAAAGAACAUAGCUAGUAAUUCCCCUUCCAUCAAGAACACAUCUCAUUGGGCCUGACAGGCUUUAAUUGAAAAUGCCAUGGGCUAAUGACUUUAUAGUAGCUGUGCUCCCAAGUCUCCUCCUGAGGCCUCAGACUGUAAUUAAAGAUGCUCCACAGGCAUUUCAGGAUUGGCAGCUUGCUUAUAUCUGUCUUUAUUCUUUCAGAUAUCUUGUAUUUUGGAUGAUAAAGAGACAAGGAUAUUCUGAGUGGCCAAAGGGACCUUUGUCUUUAGUCUGAACAGUUAAACAAGUUGAGCCUCUAAUGGGCAACCCAUCCAGAAAAAUGCAGCCAAGACUCGUAGUGCUUUUCCCUUUCAGGAAUGAAACUGGGAAUAAUACCAGCAUGCAUUGCCCAGAGAUUGGGCCUACCUUUGGAGGAUUGCUUAUCCUUCUUACAGGAGCCAUCAUUUGCAGCAUAAGCUGAAUCUGGUUCAUAUGGUGACAAGCUUGACCCACAGUGUGGAGACAUGGACAUAAUAUUGACAGCCUAAAUGAGCCUUCUUUGAGCUCUCCCUUUUUAGCAGCAUGGCUACAUGAUGGUGAUCUCGCCUGGAGUUGGGAAACCUCUCAAGGUUGUGACAGAGAGAGCUUUUACCAGUGACUGAUCUUUAGUAGCAACCAAUAUUGUGCAUAAACUUGCAAUAUAGUAACUUUGAUUUGAGUUGCUAACUUAGAUUUUUGUCAUGUGAACUCUGGUAAAUUUUGAAUCAGAGUUCAAAUGAUUGUACUCUACAGUGAAAAAGUGAACUUUGUCAUGGAACUUUGUUACACUACAGCUUUACAGCAUCAUAUUAAAACUGCUUUUCCUAAUACCUGUGACAGCAGUUCUUUUAAGUGAUCUAAAUUCAUGACAGAUUGAAUGGAGGAGGAGCAGGAUCUGAGGAAGAAAGUUGUCUCUUUCUGUCAUCUUCAAAACUUGUAUAACUGUGGCCAAGUUGGUAAAUUUUAGUUUGCACAUAAGUAAAGAUUUCCUAGCGGUAAAAGUGUCUGAUGGUUCUGUCACACAGAUCAAGCUCUAGCCAGCCCUAGCUGUCCCCUUCUCAGUAUCUCUGAGCAGUACUGGACCUGCAAAACUUAAUAUGUAGGGUGAUCUGAACCUGGUAUUCAUGGUGAAAAUUGGGACACUCUUUUCUAUCUGAGGAGGUGCUAGCUGGAAAUUCUUCAGUUUGAAAUUUCUUCUCCAUACCAGCUGUUCAGAUACCAGUAACAGAGCUGCCACAAAAUAAAGAUUGUGUUUGGGCUACAUAAUCUGAUUAAAUGUUCAUCUGGUUGACUGGCAGUUGGAUGGAUAUAAUAUAAGGCAGAGCAGGAGCUGCACAGCUAUCAGUAUUCUCUCUGCAGUGAUUUCAUCUGUCAAGCUGCAUACAACUUUUUGCUUUGGUUUUAUAGAGCCAAAAUCUUUAAUAGAAAAAAAAAAACAAACCCAAACAAUAAGAGAUUCUGUGACCUGCCAGUUCCACUGAUAUGUCCCUGAUUCUUUGUACUCAUAUUCAGUGACUCAUUGUGGCCAUAACCUCACUGUUUAUGUCUCUCUUGCUCUUCUGGCAUGGUACAAAACAAGCCUCAAGAAUCUGACAUAUGUUUUUCUCACCUCUAGAAGUACUUUGCUUUCAAAGUUCUCUUUUGUUUUCAGUACCUUGCCACUGGGGCAAUAAGUUAUUUUGUGAAGAGUUGCAGCUCCACCUUUGAAACAAAAUAAAAAAAAAAAAAAAAAAAAAAAAAAAAAAAA